rnacentral:rRNA from 1 species
CGGAAAGCGUUGAUACAGUUAGUGGCGGACGGGUGAGUAACGCGUGAGCAACCUGCCUCUGAAUAACGGAUAACGUUUGGAAACGGACGCUAAUACGAUAUAACCCAAUAGUACCGCAUGAUACAGUUGGCAAAGAUUUAUCGUCAGAGAUGGGCUCGCGUCUGAUUAGAUAGUUGGUGAGGUAACGGCCCACCAAGUCAACGAUCAGUAGCCGAACUGAGAGGUCGAACGGCCACAUUGGAACUGAGAACGGUCCAGACUCCUACGGGAGGCAGCAGUGGGGAACAUUGGGCAAUGGGCGAAAGCCCUGACCCAGCGACGCCGCGUGAGGGAAGAAGGUCUUCGGAUUGUAAACCUUUGUUGAUAGGGACGAAGAAAAUGACGGUACCUAUCGAGGAAGCCACGGCUAACUACGUGCCAGCAGCCGC